AGUGGCAGAGUGAGAGAGGGUGUGACUAGUGACAGAGUGAGAGAGGGGGUGACUAGUGACAGAGUGAGAGAGGGGGUGACUGUCACUAGUCACCCCAUCCCUCUCUCUGUCACUAGUCACUCCCUCCCUAACUCUGUCACUGUGUCACCCCCUCUCUCACUCUGUCACUAGUCACCCCCUCUCUCACUAUGUCACUAGUCACCCCCUCCCUCACUAUGUCACCCCCUUCUUCACUCUGUCACU